rnacentral:rRNA from 2 species
UGUCGUCAGCUCGUGUUGUGAAAUGUUGGGUUAAGUCCCGCAACGAGCGCAACCCUUAUCCUUUGUUGCCAGCGGUCCGGCCGGGAACUCAAAGGAGACUGCCAGUGAUAAACUGGAGGAAGGUGGGGAUGACGUCAAGUCAUCAUGGCCCUUACGACCAGGGCUACACACGUGCUACAAUGGCGCAUACAAAGAGAAGCGACCUCGCGAGAGCAAGCGGACCUCAUAAAGUGCGUCGUAGUCCGGAUUGGAGUCUGCAACUCGACUCCAUGAAGUCGGAAUCGCUAGUAAUCGUGGAUCAGAAUGCCACGGUGAAUACGUUCCCGGGCCUUGUACACACCGCCCGUCACACCAUGGGAGUG